rnacentral:rRNA from 1 species
CGAUGAUCCUGCCUUCGGGCGGGGGAUUAGUGGCGAACGGGUGAGUAAUACGUGGGUAACCUGCCCCGGACUUCGGGAUAAGCCUGGGAAACCGGGUCUAAUACCGGAUAUGACCUUUGCCUGCAUGGGCGGGGGUGGAAAGGGUUUCCGGUCCGGGAUGGACCCACGGCCUAUCAGCUGGUUGGCGGGGUAACGGCCCACCAAGGCGACGACGGGUAGCCGGCCUGAGAGGGUGGACGGCCACACUGGGACUGAGACACGGCCCAGACUCCUACGGGAGGCAGCAGUGGGGAAUAUUGCACAAUGGGCGCAAGCCUGAUGCAGCGACGCCGCGUGAGGGAUGACGGCCUUCGGGUUGUAAACCUCUUUCGGCAGGGAAGAAGCGCAAGUGACGGUACCUGCGGAAGAAGCGCCGGCUAACUACGUGCCAGCAGCCGCGGUAAUACGUAGGGCGCAAGCGUUGUCCGGAAUUAUUGGGCGUAAAGAGCUCGUAGGCGGUUUGCCGCGUCUGCCGUGAAAGCCCGGGGCUCAACCCCGGGUCUGCGGUGGGUACGGGCAGACUGGAGUGCAGUAGGGGAGACCGGAAUUCCUGGUGUAGCGGUGAAAUGCGCAGAUAUCAGGAGGAACACCGAUGGCGAAGGCAGGUCUCUGGGCUGUAACUGACGCUGAGGAGCGAAAGCAUGGGGAGCGAACAGGAUUAGAUACCCUGGUAGUCCAUGCCGUAAACGUUGGGCACUAGGUGUGGGGGACAUUCCACGUCUUCCGCGCCGCAGCUAACGCAUUAAGUGCCCCGCCUGGGGAGUACGGCCGCAAGGCU